rnacentral:rRNA from 1 species
UAAUACCGGCGGCUCGAGUGGUGGCCGAUAUUAUUGAGUCUAAAGGGUCCGUAGCCGGCUUUGCAAGUCCCCUGGGAAAUCCAGCGGCUUAACCGUUGGGCUUUCAUGGGAUACUACAUUGCUUGGGACUGGGAGAGGUAGGAGGUACUCAGGGGGUAGGGGUGAAAUCCUGUAAUCCUCUGGGGACCACCGGUGGCGAAGGCGUCCUACCAGAACAGGUCCGACGGUGAGGGACGAAAGCUAGGGGCACGAACCGGAUUAGAUACCCGGGUAGCCCUAGCCGUAAACGAUGCUCGCUAGGUGUCACGGCAGUCGUGAAUUGUCGUGGUGCCGUAGGGAAGCCGUGAAGCGAGCCACUUGGGAAGUACGACCGCAAGGUUGAAACUUAAAUGAAUUGACGG